rfam:Actinopolymorpha singaporensis strain DSM 22024 genome assembly, chromosome: I
GCCGGUCCUCGGUAGUGGCUUCCGGGAGUCCCCCGGGCGAGAUCACCCAAGACGUACCCGAGAGCCUCGAUCGAAGACCGGC